rnacentral:hammerhead_ribozyme from 1 species
GUACUGAUGAAGAGUCCCAAACUAGGAUGAAACAGCUGUCCAAUAC